CCCUUAGAUGUUCUGGGCCGCACGCGUGCUACACUGAGUGGAUCAGCGGGUCAGGUUGCGCGAAAGUGUUUCCUAAUCUUUAAAUCCGCUCGUGAUGGGGAUUGACGGUUGCAAUUUUCCAUCAUGAACGAGGAAUACCUUGUAAGCGCGGGUCAUCAUCCCGCGCUGAAUACGUCCCUGCCCUUUGUACACACCGCCCGUCGCUCCUACCGAUUGAGUGGUCCGGUGAGGCUUUGGGAUCUGAGCGGAAAGAGCGUUUCGCUGUUUCUGCCCGGAAAACUCAGUCGAACCUUAUCAUUUAGAGGAAGGAGAAGUCGUAACA
rnacentral:rRNA from 1 species